UCAUGCAUUAAAAGGAUUUCCCUAUCUGUAUUUAUUUGGUAUAACAGAUUAAAAAGAGUAACACAAAUGUGAAUUAAAAAAAUAUAUAAUUGAAACCCCAUUGUAGUACUUUUCAAUCGUUGGUUAUUGUGCUGUAUUGAGUUGAAAAGGUGGCCUGAUGAGACUACUUAACGAGCAUGCCACCCUCGGUGCUUUUAGAAUGUGUUAUACCAGAAUCAAAAGGGCCCCUUUUGCUGUUCACUGUGCUUUUUGAGGCUCUCAGUCACAUUUGGGCAAGAAUCCUUUAAAAGCACACAAGGACCGCUCAGGAUAAUGGCUCUGUUUGCAUCUUUCAUUACCUCUAAUAUGCAAAUGAUGGAUUAGCUUUGAAAGAAAACCGUUGGCUUGGAGACUAAUAUCUACCAGGAAGUUAUACUGACCCUUCAUACCUACCCUUUUCAAGUCAGACAACUGCUAUGCUAGCCGGGACAUGCAAAUGAAGUGUAAUGAGCUCCUAAAUCGUAGAUGAUGCGUCACCCUCAAUGGUGGCUGCUUUGACAUCCUUUAUACGUCAAACAAAAUUCUAACGCUACGCCGCCAUAAAUGAAGCUGUCAGAUAACCAUUUCCAUUUGUGCCCAUGGAAGUAAUUACUGUAUCUCGAAUCUUUACCAAGAAGAGGGCAGUGCCAUUGAACUGUGGUCCUGGUGCGAAAGCUCUAAUUCUCUGUCAACAUCUUUAAUUGGUUGAAUUAAGUGACCCAUUUUCUGGAUGCAAGCUGCAUUUGCAGUUGAAGCUUCUUUAAAGUAUUUAACCCUUUCCGCGGUGCUUUAGGCUCAUCGACCCACCAGUGUCGAGUGCAGGAUCCGGAGACGCUGUCAUAAUCGCCUCUGAUCCAUGUGUAAUAUUUGUGGGAUAGUAGAAAUAAAUAAUGGUGUAGUAUUGUCAACUGUUUGGAUUGGAUUUAGCAGACAGACAAUGUACAUUUUGGUUUAGAAUACAAGUACAAGUGUCGUGUACAUAUCCAAAUUACUUUUCUUGACAGACUUUUCUAUUCUGUAAGCAUUGUUGAGGCCCGCCUUUUGGAGCCCUUCAUGGAUGCAGUUGCCCAUGCAAGUCAAACCACUGACUGCCUAUCCAAUUGCAAAAAUGGGGAAAUGACUUGUGUAUGUGUGUCAGGACCUCUUUCAGGCCUACCGAAUGAACUCUAUGUGGGACUGUGCAGCCUGUGUAAUUGUGUUGACAGAAUAGUGUCUUGCCUCUUGCGCACAUGCGUGGCAUCCACUUGUUUAACGGGGCAAAGUGCCUCCAAAGUCCCUUGGCUUUCAGAAGCUUGUGGCACUUGAGUGAAUGUUUAAACGAGCGCCGAACACAGCAGUGCUUUACUCAGAUAUUUUUGAUCGUAAGGAAACUAUUGUGCAGUCAUACUUAGAACACACGUAAAAGCAUUUACCAGGGCAGGGGCGUUAUAUGCAGCUGAAUGAAUUGUUCAAAGGGAUGUUGUUGAAAACAAUUUAAAAUGUAAUGGCACCUUUCUAUUCAGGAAAUUAGGUGAAGGCAGGUUUGGAGCUUCCAAAGGGUUGGAACCAAUUUUGUUCCAUAACAAGAUGAGAGUGGUCUUUCUAUAGAUCCCUGCCCUUAGAGCUGUUGGCUGUUAAUUUAGGUAGGGACAGGAAAUUGUCAAGGGUGCGAACCCUAAACAACACAGAAAAAGGUAAAUGGGAUGAACAAGGACACUGUUUGGAUACGCAGUUAUUCACAUAAUUGAUCGGAUAAAGGGACAAAGUCAUCAGUGAUACAGUGUAUCCCAAUCCUAUCCAGGCUGCUUUUGCGCAACCAUUUGGUUUGGAUGAGGAAAAAAGGAUCAUUCAAAACCGUGCAUCAUAUGAUUGAACACUAAUUUGCACACGUGUGGAAAAAUAAACAAAAUGUAAAGAGCAAUAAAACACAACAUAUAUGGAGAAGCUGACGUCUGCCUGCACUGUAAUUUCUGUGUUUUUGUCCAACACCUCUUUUUGAGUCUGAGCUGUCAUUUUGAAACUGUGUUGAAAAGCGACACAAAAAAAACAAAGAUUAGCUAAAGAGGUCUUGAGCAGUAUAUUGAAGUCUUUUGUGACAGUGAUCAAAUUCAAAGAUUACGGUGUAUUUUCACUUGAAGUUUUGUUUCUUUAGAAGCUUCACCUUUCAUGCUUCCACUGCAGUGUUAGAGUAUAUGGAUGUGAAAAUUAGGCAUAACGCUGGUUUUGUGGACCAUUUUUAUUUGUGUGCGUGUGUUUAUCCAAACUAGAGUUGUGUGAUCGUCAUCAUUCAUUCCAGUGCUCGCUAGUUGCCAAGGAAACAGAAGUGCUGAAGCUCAAGGAUGCUGUUAAACGUUAGAGUGCGCAGAGCUCUGCGAGGGAGGAAGGAAAGAGAGCGGAAGAGAUUUGUCGUGGUUGGUAGGCUAUUGUCCGCCUCCCAACUGUAUUUCAUCUUUCAUUCAAACUACAGAGUUGGUAGGUAUGAAAUUAAACAGCUCACAAACUUCUAAUUUAUCAAAAGGCAUUAUUUUGAUAGUGAAGCCAAAGUAGCUGAUAACGACCUAUAAGAAAGAAAUGUUGCAUCUGAGUCAUUCUUUUCUUAGUUCUCAUCAAUACAAAUCAGACACAAGACAGAAUUUACAUUUGAUGGAUUAUAAUCAUAAAAUAAGUAAUAAGAUUUGCAGAAUCGUUUGGCCACAUCCAUUACCUUGUUUGGUAGUCCCGCCCCAACGGAUGUGAUGAAAUUGAUAAAAAUACGUAAUAGAAAAUGAACGGAGUAAAAAAUAGCCCCCUAACAGAUCAUAAAAGUAUCUCUGCAACAUUUGGACGGAUAGAUUAUACUUUUCUACAAUCUUGGAGACUCCAAGUACACAAUAAAAUGAAUAUAAAAGCAAAAAAAGUGGAUUUUCCAUGAUACGUCUCCUUUAAGACUAAAA